CGUCUGUUCACUACUGUGUCCUCAGCGCCAUCAAUAGUGCCUGGCACAGAGUAGGAUGAAGGCAGAGCCCCGAGGAAGGCUGCGCUAGGUGGGGGAGCUGAUCUCAGGGAGAUGCUGCCCUGCACAGGUUCUGCCCUUUGGAAAGGGUCCUCAGAUGCCCUACGGUCCUCUGUCGUCUCGUCUGUAACAUGGGACGGACCGCUGCAGUGUCUUCCUUGGGGGUCAUCACAAGGAUUAAGUGAGAUCAGGCCUGUGGAGCAAUCAGCCCGGCCUGGGAGUGUCCGACUCGGGUGCCCCCAGUGAGUGAGCAGCUCUCCCAAGCAACAGGUCCAGGUCCCAAGCUCCUCCACCUCGUGGCCCCGCCGUCUCCCACCGUGGCUCCCAAGGUCUCCAGAUGUAGAGGGAAGAGUGCUCCGAGUUCAGAAUCCGGCCACCCUGUUUCCCAUCCCAGUUGUGCCAUGAGUCUGAUUGGGGCCAGGUCAUUUCACCUCUCCCAAUUCCCGAUGCUUAAUCGGUAAAAUGGGCUUUUGUCAAGACUGAGCCAACGUGGGGUGUGAAAUUUCCAGUCACCGAGCGGGCCCUCAGCACACAGCACCUGCCUCCUUCCUUCCAUCCACUCAGCUCUGUGAAGUCUGUGGACGUGGAGCGGCAACAUCCUCAGCGAUGAUGGGCAGCGUGUGUUCAACGCCAGAUGAGGAACAGGAGAGAGGAUGCUGCAAAGCGCGGGCUUAGGGCUGGCUUCCCGGAAGAUGGGGACUCCAGGAUGGGAAGGUCCCUCUGCUCAGCCGCUGCCUUUGGUCCCCUCAGCCCCUCCCCCGCCGCCAGAUCACAGGGAGAACAAUCCUGUGAAAAGCAGGUUCCCAGCCCAGAACAGCUGCCAAAUUCACCUGGGCUGGGGUGGGAAGCUCUCAUGUCAGGAGGAACAAUACCCUUUGGCUUGAAACAAAAGAGAUUCAGAUGGGGCUGUUCAAAGGCCUGGGUGGGUUGCUGGGGAAAAGUUUCAGAUUACAGUGUGGGGGCAGGGUGGCACGGCGGGGAGGCAAGGGCCCAGGAGGAAGAGGUAGGGUAGGUGUCCCAAGUGGCUGAGAUGGCCGAAUGCCUGCUGUUUCCAGUCCAGGCUGGGUCCCCUGCUGUCAUCCCCACCUCUGGGGCUCAGGGGCAAGAAGGGAUGGGAAAUUCACUCCCGGGAGGCAGAGACAGUGAAGCCAGCAGGCGAAGGCUUGUGGGUGCCCAGGGGCCCCCAAGGUGGCUGUAGGCACCCUGGGCAGCUGGAGCCAACAGGUCAAGGGAGAUGUGACAGCAGGAACCCCCCAAAAAGAGGAAGCCUUGCCCUCUGGGCAUUGGAGAGCAACCUGAACUUCCCAAGAUUAUGGGCCUCAUGAAGCCUGCGGUGAUUUUAUUAAAUAUUAUUAGCUGAGCUGCCAACAAUUGUAAAGCAUAUCCUGAUUUGGAGGAUUUGAAAAAGUAAACACUUGCUGACUUAGCAUGGACAAAGUAUGAUAAAUGAGUUAGCGUUUGCGCUUGGAACAGUGGGUGGAACAGAG
rnacentral:lncRNA from 1 species